CAUUCCUGGCUCUCUGGAUUUUAUUUUUUUUAUUUCUACGGAACAUCUCCAAACGGCGUUCCGUCCAUGGCAUGAGUGACACACUACACUCGGCGGUUCCGCCUCCCUCUGCUCGCCAUUCGAGCGGAUUCCAUGGCCACAGACGACGGCGGCGCGCUGCCGCUGGUGCCGGCACCCGCUCCGGGCCAGGUCUACCUGCUCGCGUGGCGCCGCGUGUACGACCGCCUCGUGACGAUGCUGCGCCAGGCGUACGCGCAGGUCGAGGACCUCUCCAAUCGAGCGCGAGCACCUCAUCACCGAGCUCCAGUUCCUGCAGAGCGGCCGCCGCGAGCGUGAGGUGAUCUUCCAGGCCCGCCUCCAGCCGAUCUGUAAGCACGAGGAGCUCCGCAAGAGAGUCGGUGAGGCUGAGACGGCGGCGCGUCUUGGCGGCAGGGAGCUUCAGAUUCACUUGUACAAGAAGCUCACAGAACUUUCUGAGGAUGAUUUGGAGGUCUUCAAAAGUUGUAUUUUGAAUUUGGUUGCUGAAAAUACUAAGCUAAAGGAAAAACUGAAGAAGUUUGAAAGUCAGAUGGAGAUUGAGAGUUAAGCCUAAGUGCUUCUCUCUAAGUUAUCUAGUUACCUGUCUAUCUAGCUUCUAUCUUAGCAUCUAGAAUAUGCUUAGCAUCUACUUUAGUAGUUAGAAUAUGCCGUGUCACCUGUGCUCCUCCCGCCAAAUUUCAGUGUUCCAAGGCUAAAGACCCCAGCUCCUCCCUAAAAGGAUGAAACCACUGGCAGCUGUAGCCUGAUGUGCUGACAAUUGAAGCUGUCCCAACACGCCCUUCACUGACAUCAGGUGAGGCUAAGCUUAUCAGUUACCGCUGCAGGUUUGACUCAAUUGCAAAGCACGAAAGCAGCAUUGUAUAGUCGACUAAACUAACUGUGUUUGUAACAUAUUUCUUCUCUCAUCUCUGUUGGAGAGCUUGCAACAUAUAUGUUGGUCGUUGCUGGGCAACAGAGACGGAAGGUGUCCAUGUGUGUUGUUUUAUGUAGCUUAUCACUUGCUGCUCGCUUGCCCAGCAUAUCUGUUGGUGUGUGUUAAGGCAUGAUCCCCAUGGCUUUGCUGGUAGAACAUACUAACACCAGAGUGUACCACCGUUGGCCUCGUGUACUGCUGGUACUGGUUGCUUCAGCCUUUCUGUACUGAUCUGUUGUCUGUGAAUGGAUGGAUGCUGAACACUUGAGUUUAUAGGGCCAUAAAUUAUUCAUAAAUAUGAAGAUGCAAAGUUAAUUCUGUUAA